UGUCCAGACUCCUACGGGAGGCAGCAGUGAGGAAUAUUGGUCAAUGGGCUUACGCCUGAACCAGCCAAGUCGCGUGAGGGAAGACUGCCCUAUGGGUUGUAAACCUCUUUUGUCAGGGAGCAAUUGGCGCUACGUGUAGCGUUAUCGAGAGUACCUGAAGAAAAAGCAUCGGCUAACUCCGUGCCAGCAGCCGCGGUAAUACGGAGGAUGCGAGCGUUAUCCGGAUUUAUUGGGUUUAAAGGGUGCGUAGGCGGAGUGUCAAGUCAGCGGUAAAAUUUCGGGGCUCAACCCCGUCGUGCCGUUGAAACUGACACCCUUGAGUGAGUGAGAAGUAAGCGGAAUGCGUGGUGUAGCGGUGAAAUGCAUAGAUAUCACGCAGAACGCCGAUUGCGAAGGCAGCAUACCGGCGCCCUACUGACGCUGAGGCACGAAAGCGUGGGUAUCGAACAGGAUUAGAUACCCCAGUA
rnacentral:rRNA from 1 species